rnacentral:rRNA from 1 species
UACAGAGGUGGCAAGCGUUGUUCGGAAUUACUGGGCGUAAAGGGCGCGUAGGCGGCUUGGUCAGUCCCGUGUGAAAUCCCUCGGCUCAACUGAGGAACUGCACGGGAAACUGCCUGGCUUGAGUUCGGGAGAGGUGAGUGGAACUGCGAGUGUAGAGGUGAAAUUCGUAGAUAUUCGCAAGAACACCAGUGGCGAAGGCGGCUCACUGGCCCGAUACUGACGCUGAGGCACGAAAGCGUGGGGAGCAAACAGG